UAAUAAAAUCCUUUGGGAAAAGUGUUGUGUAAAUAAAUUUAUAUUGAAAUGUCUCCUUUAAAGGUCGCUUAACCUCAUGCAAAUUUUCCACAUUAAAAUUAAUUGCUGUUACCAAAUUUGGUCCAUUCCUUCUUUAAAAAAUACCUCAUCGUAGAGCUAUUUUUACACGUUAUUAUUUAUUGUUUAAACUGGUUUCCAGGUUUUUGUGUUUCUUGUAUGCUUUCACUACUCUGUGCUGAAUAUUGUGAUUCCUCGAUCUGGGAAACAUCGUAGAUGUUAAUUUAUAUAAUUCAAGACGCGACAGUGCGUUAGCUACAAUAAGAGGAAAUUACUUUAUAAAUGCAUGCCAUCUUUUCACUUUUAGGUUAGGGUUACGGGUUAACAAUUCAAAUAACAAAGGUUGAUGAUCUGUAUGGAUUUCGAGAUUCGUUGCACCUAUAGGUAAUUAUGAAGGUUUUUUAAAGCCCAUACAAUAGCGUAUAAUUCUUCUUCUGUUUUACUUAAAGCUUGUGAAAGAUAUUGGUUUACCUUCUUCUGAAAACACAGCGCCUAGUGCUACUUUGUAUGCGUCUGUGGUUAAUGCAAAUGCCUUUGAAUAGUUUGGUUGCGUCAAUUCCAUUUCUAACACCAAAUGUCUCUUUAAUUUAUUAAAUGUUGAAAAGCCAUUUUGAUCCAUAUUUUUUUUAAAUUUUUCUGAUAUGUUUUUUGAAACUUUACCAUUUUCCGGGGACAAAUAACUUGUCGGAGGCUUUGCAAUUGUGGCAUAAUUUUUAACAAAUUUAUUAGAUAAUUUAGAAUUAAUUUUGUUUUAUUAUUGACUAAAUGAGCCUCUGAUCCUCCGGCUACACCACAUAAAUCAUACACAACACACUUCAUUACACACCACAUCUUCACCACACACCACUUUUUACAUUCCACAUCACGCGCACACAAAUACCACCACAUCAUUAAACUAACAAAAGGUACCAACCAACAGAGCACAAGCCCCCUUUUGAUUUCGAUACGACACCGCAGACGGAAGUUCACGGGUCCCUUUUUAUUCGAUGCCGUAUCAGACGGCACCAUUGGCUUUAAUAUGUAACAAAAAAAACAAAAACAAAUAAAAUAAAAUGUAAAUGCAAGUGCAAGUGUAGUGAGAAAAACGAAAAACUUAAGCAAAAAAGUAUACAUAUAAAAAAAUAUAUAUACAUUGUAUAUGGGCCAUUCCAUCAAUUGGCGACAUGGUUUUGUACCCGUGGUUCUCCGAUUUUGACGAAACUUUAGAAUAUCAUAAUAUAGACUAAAAUAAGAAUAUCUGUAAACUUUUUAGUGGCCAAACUUGCUUCAUUGUUUUUUGGCGCGCACUUCAAAUUGAGAUCAAACAAAAAAAUGACUUUUUCUUUUAUUUUUUAACGACCUCAAAAUUGAGUGAAAAAAAUUUUAAAGUUAUCCAUUUUUAUGUAAAAAAAUCUCAGCUUUCUGAUAAAAAUAUUUUCAAAAUCCAAAAAAAAUUUCAAAAUCCAAAAAAAACCAUGUUUUUUCCAAAAAUUCCGCUUUUUGUGCUCUUCCCCAACUUUUUUAUCAAAAUUGACAUUAUUUUUCGAUUCCUCGUUAAAUUUUACAUAAGAAUCAGUGUUCAAAAAUAUGGGACUCUGAUCCCAUGAACAGCAAAAAAAAUUCAAAAUUGACUCUCAAAAUCCAAAAAAAGAACAUUAUUUUCCAAAAAAUCCGGUUUUUUGUGCUUUUCCACCAACCUUUUUUCAAAAUUGACUUUUCCAUUCGAUUCCUCGUUAAAUUUUACAUAAGAAUCAGUGUUCAUAUGGGACUCUGAUCCCACCAACAGCAAAAAAAAUGUAAAGUUGUCGCUACAUAUAUGGCACAUAUUUUUAUGAAUGAAGACUGUGAUUUCUUCUUAAUUCAAGUCUACCCGCCAGUAUGCGAAGUGGCGAUAGCCUCCUUUUUACUAGCGAUUUCGGUACUUUCUGGUAAGUACUUACUCGCUAGCACGUAACGGGUGAUUUUUUUGAGGUUAGGAUUUUCAUGCAUUAGUAUUUGACAGAUCACGUGGGAUUUCAGACAUGGUGUCAAAGAGACACCAGUAUGCUUUGACAUUUCAUCAUGAAUAGACUUACUAACGAGCAACGCUUGCAAAUCAUUGAAUUUUAUUACCAAAAUCAGUGUUCGGUUCGAAAUGUGUUUCGCGCGCGUGUUUUGUUCAGCGAUGAGGCUCAUUUCUGGUUGAAUGGCUACGUAAAUAAGCAAAAUUGCCGCAUUUGGGGUGAAGAGCAACCAGAAGCCGUUCAAGAACUGCCCAUGCAUCCCGAAAAAUGCACUGUUUGGUGUGGUUUGUACGCUGGUGGAAUCAUUGGACCGUAUUUUUUCAAAGAUGCUGUUGGACGCAACGUUACGGUGAAUGGCGAUCGCUAUCGUUCGAUGCUAACAAACUUUUUGUUGCCAAAAAUGGAAGAACUGAACUUGGUUGACAUGUGGUUUCAACAAGAUGGCGCUACAUGCCACACAGCUCGCGAUUCUAUGGCCAUUUUGAGGGAAAACUUCGGACAACAAUUCAUCUCAAGAAAUGGACCCGUAAGUUGGCCACCAAGAUCAUGCGAUUUAACGCCUUUAGACUAUUUUUUGUGGGGCUACGUCAAGUCUAAAGUCUACAGAAAUAAGCCAGCAACUAUUCCAGCUUUGGAAGACAACAUUUCCGAAGAAAUUCGGGCUAUUCCGGCCGAAAUGCUCGAAAAAGUUGCCCAAAAUUGGACUUUCCGAAUGGACCACCUAAGACGCAGCCGCGGUCAACAUUUAAAUGAAAUUAUCUUCAAAAAGUAAAUGUCAUGAACCAAUCUAACGUUUCAAAUAAAGAACCGAUGAGAUUUUGCAAAUUUUAUGCGUUUUUUUUUUUAAAAAAAGUUAUCAAGCUCUUAAAAAAUCAGCCUUUAGUAAUGCAGCACUGGGUGUCUUUACAUUUAAGAAAAACACAGAUACAGAAAAACGAUGCUUAACAAAGCUUCGUGCGUAUACGAAGCAAUGACAUUUCUUUUAUAUUCUUUUGUCACUUGAUUUCAUUCGCCACGUGUUUGCCAAGCGUUUCAAAUUUGGAAAGUGGAAGUGAGGAGUAUCUUUACAUAAUAAAAUAUAAAUAAUAUUGAUAAAAUAAAGGUAAAAAGAUAAAAAUGAUAAGUAAAAGGCAUUUGCGAAGGUUGAAAAAAAAUGAAAGAGAGAAAUUCAAAGAAAAAUGUGCGCUUGGUGAAAAUGAAUACAAGAAACAGGAAGAAAGUGAAGUGCGUAAAAUUGCUAAAAUACAAGAAGUGGAGGUAGAAGGAGACACAGACAUGGACGUAGAAAACGUUGACACUGACUUUGUUGAAAAUCCCACGGGCUUAAACUUAAAUGACAAACUUAAAGAGUGGUAUUUAAGAUAUAAGCCAAAGCGGAAUUGUGCAAUACAUUUAAUUAAAAUUUUGAGAGAGGAACGUUUAAGGAUAAGUCCAUUUUAUAGGUUUAUAUCUAAUUCAACGCCAGAUAUAGUGCAACUCGCGGGCGGAUUACAUCUCCAUAUAGGAUUAAAUCAACAGCUUCAAAAAAUAUCCAAAGUUAUUCAGCUUUCCAGUCCGUUAGUGAUUGAUAUUAAUAUUGACGGAAUUCCCCUAUUUAAAAGUUCUAAGUCGCAAUUGUGGCUAAUUUUAGGUAGGCUAACUAAUUUAGGAAAUAUGUUUGUAUUUCUUAUAGGUGUAUUUUUGGGCAAAAACAAGCCAAAUAACUCUGCAGAAUUUUUAAGCAGUUUUACCUCAGAAUUUGCGAUGUUAAAGGAAAGUGGAUGUGAGGUGGCUGGCAGGAACUUGCAGGUUCAAAUCGGGUCAAUAGUUUGUGAUGCUCCAGCAAGAGCAUUUGUAAGUGGAAUCCCUGGGCACACAUCGGCUCAUGGAUGUUCAAAAUGUGAUCAGGUAGCCAAAAAAAUUGAUUGCGUUUUAACCUAUAGCACCAAAUUGGGUCGGCUAAUUACAAAUGAAGAUUUUUCAGCUGGAAAAUACCCAACAAGUCAGCUUUUGAAAAACUUGGGGUAUCCAUGGUUACACAGGUUCCUUUGGACUGCAUGCAUCUUGUAGAAUUGGGAGUCAUGAGAAAAUUCCUAACUAGAUUAGUAAAUAACAAAGUGUCUGUCAAAAUAACGAAAGCAAACAAAGAAAACAUAUCCGAAAAAUUAAUAGCAAUGCGAAAACAUGUUCCGAAUGACUUUGCGCGCAAGCCCAGAUCGUUAGAAGAAUUGCUACAUUGGAAAUCCACUGAGUUUAGGCAAUUUUUGUUGUACACUGGGCUUGUUGCUCUAAGAAAUGAGGUACAUGACGACAUAUACUACGAGUUUUUGCUUUUACAUUGCUCAUACAGAAUGCUCUGUUGUCCAAAACUUCGCAACGCAAAUUUGGAAACUUCCCAACUGAUGUUAAAUUUAUUUGUUGAGAGCUUUCCAAUUAUCUUUGGCGAAAAUAGUGUGUCAUACAACGUACACAGUUUAUUGCACUUAAAGGAGACGGUCGCGCAGGUUGGGGAUCCAAUCGCGGGCUCUGCGUAUGCUUUCGAAAAUUAUUUGCAAACCCUCAAACGACAUAUCCGAAAACCAACGAAAAUUCUCGAACAAAUACACAGAAAAAUUAUGGAAGAUGAAUUCGUUGCUCCUUUAAAUAAAAAUAAACCAGAACUGUUGGGAAAAAAAUAUUUUCAAAGCUGCAUGUUAAGUACAAAAGCACCUGACAAUUACUGUUACGUGAAAAACAAUACGCCCGUACUCAUCCGAUCGUUUACACCAGGUGUAGAAGGCACACUAAUAGGUCGCAGAUUAAAAAAUCUUAGAUCCUUUUUUGAAGAACCUAUUAAUUCAACAACUUUGGGAAUAUAUUUAGUUGACAGGAAGCCAUCAGAAGCGGAAGAGUCGUUUUCAUUUUUAGACCUUGAAUGCAAAGCUGUUGGGGUGCCUUAUCGAGACGAUUUAUUGAUACUGCCAAUGUUUAAUUAAUGUUUAGUUACUUUUGUUUUUACCUUUUUAUUAUAGUCAGAACUAUAUAUGAAAAAUGUUUAAAACUAUAAAUAAAUAAAAAAUAAUAAGCUUUCAAAAUGCCUGAUACUCCUCCAAAAAAAAUUAAACGCGUUGCCUUUGACAAACAAAGUAAGUGAUCGUUGAAUCAUUUAAAAAAAAAUUAGUUAAAAUAAAUUUAAAUCCAAUAGACAACAAUUGCAGUUGCACUAUCGUUAUUGAUCAGCUCGAGAAAAAGAUAGACGAUAUGAAAGGUAAAAAUAAUUUACGGAAAACUGAUCCAUGUGUUAUACCUACAUAUCUAUUUAAAAUCUUAUGUUUUCAGAUGCCAUGCAACAGGAAAUUAAGGUGGUUCGUGGUCAACUGCAAAUAGCAAUUGAAGCACUGGCCGAUCAAAAAGUUGUCCUGAAUCAACUUUUGCAACAAAGUGCAGAGGAGCUGCCUAUCCAGUCCAAAUUCCCCUUAAAGAACGAAGAGCAGCUAAUCAGUUUAAAUGACCAGCUCAACAGCGAAAACAAAAACACUUAUGUUAAAGCUAUGAGAUCGCUGCUGCAACCUACCGGCGUUUUGAAAAAUUUAAGAAAUAUUUUGAGCGAUAAAAUAGCAAUGGCAUUCAAUGUCGAUGGAGUGCAGGGCAAAAAGUCCUUAAAAUCCCUUCAAAACUUUUAUAACGCACUACUGGGUAUUAUAUUUCUUGUUUUAUACAAAAAAAUUGGCACUUAUUAAGUUUUUUUUCUUAUUUAGACUCAAUUCCGUUAAAUGAUGGGAAUGGUACUGCAGACGAAAAACUGCGUAAAGCAAUGCAGUUGCAAAAAAAACGCAUUUUUAAAAGGGCUUGCUUGUCCAAAGACAAGACAUAAUAGUCAAUUCGACUUAAAAUUUCAA